rnacentral:rRNA from 1 species
GACGAACGCUGGCGGCGUGCUUAACACAUGCAAGUCGAACGAACCUUCGGGUUAGUGGCGAACGGGUGAGUAACACGUGGGCAACCUGCCUCGAGCUCUGGGAUAACUCCGGGAAACCGGGGCUAAUACCGGAUAUGACCUGCUGACACAUGUUGGUGGGUGGAAAGUUUUUCGGCUCGAGAUGGGCCCGCGGCCUAUCAGCUUGUUGGUGGGUAAUGGCCUACCAAGGCGACGACGGUAGCCGGCCNGAGAGGGCGACCGGCCACACUGGGACUGAGACACGGCCCAGACUCCUACGGGAGGCAGCAGUGGGGAAUAUUGCGCAAUGGGCGAAAGCCUGACGCAGCGACGCCGCGUGA